UGGGGAAUAUUGCACAAUGGAGGAAACUCUGAUGCAGCGACGCCGCGUGAGCGAUGAAGUAUUUCGGUAUGUAAAGCUCUAUCAGCAGGGAAGAUAAUGACGGUACCUGAGUAAGAAGCUCCGGCUAAAUACGUGCCAGCAGCCGCGGUAAUACGUAUGGAGCAAGCGUUAUCCGGAUUUACUGGGUGUAAAGGGAGUGUAGGCGGCAAGGCAAGUCAGAUGUGAAAUGUAUGGGCUCAACCCAUGAACUGCAUUUGAAACUGUUUUGCUUGAGUGAAGUAGAGGCAGGCGGAAUUCCCUGUGUAGCGGUGAAAUGCGUAGAGAUAGGGAGGAACACCAGUGGCGAAGGCGGCCUGCUGGGGCU
rnacentral:rRNA from 1 species